UACGUAGGGUGCAAGCGUUGUCCGGAAUUAUUGGGCGUAAAGAGCUCGUAGGCGGUUUGUCGCGUCUGCUGUGAAAACUCGGGGCUUAACCCCGGGCCUGCAGUGGGUACGGGCAGACUAGAGUGCGGUAGGGGAGACUGGAAUUCCUGGUGUAGCGGUGAAAUGCGCAGAUAUCAGGAGGAACACCGGUGGCGAAGGCGGCUCACUGGCCCGGUACUGACGCUGAGGUGCGAAAGCGUGGGGAGCAAACAGG
rnacentral:rRNA from 1 species